rnacentral:rRNA from 1 species
AGAGCGAACGCUGGCGGCAGGCCUAACACAUGCAAGUCGAACGGACCCUUCGGGGUUAGUGGCGGACGGGUGAGUAACACGUGGGAACGUGCCUUUAGGUUCGGAAUAGCUCCUGGAAACGGGUGGUAAUGCCGAAUGUGCCCUUCGGGGGAAAGAUUUAUCGCCUUUAGAGCGGCCCGCGUCUGAUUAGCUAGUUGGUGAGGUAAAGGCUCACCAAGGCUACGAUCAGUAGCUGGUCUGAGAGGAUGACCAGCCACAUUGGGACUGAGACACGGCCCAAACUCCUACGGGAGGCAGCAGUGGGGAAUCUUGCGCAAUGGGACAAAGCCUGACGCAGCCAUG